ACGGAAGGCAGCAGUGGGGAAUAUUGCACAAUGGAGGGAACUCUGAUGCAGCAACGCCGCGUGAGUGAAGAAGGUCUUCGGAUCGUAAAACUCUGUCCUUAGGGACGAAGAAAGUGACGGUACCUAAGGAGGAAGCCCCGGCUAACUACGUGCCAGCAGCCGCGGUAAUACGUAGGGGGCGAGCGUUAUCCGGAAUUAUUGGGCGUAAAGAGUACGUAGGUGGUUUUGUAAGCGUGAGGUGAAAGCCCGGGGCUUAACUCCGGCGAGCCUUACGAACUGCAAGACUUGAGUGCAGGAGGGGAAAGUGGAAUUCCUAGUGUAGCGGUGAAAUGCGUAGAUAUUGGGAGGAACACCAGUGGCGAAGGCGGCCUGCUGGGCUUUAACUGACGCUGAGGCACGAAAGUAUGGGGAGCAAACAGGAUUAGAUACCCUGGUA
rnacentral:rRNA from 1 species